rnacentral:misc_RNA from 1 species
GUUUAGAAGAUGGUGGGCGCAGUGUUUCGGAGAGAGUAACCGAGGGUUACAAUCAGAUUCCAGAUUUAAGAGCGAAUGAGAUGGCUAUCAGAGGUGGGGUGGGAUCGGGGCCGCCUGUAGCCGGCGGAGGUGGGAUUAGGGUUGAAUUAGGGCAAGGGAGUAAAACAAAUGAGUUGGAGGAGCGAAGUAGUAAUAACGUAGCUGCACAUCAGGGUCAACAUCAGCAUCAGCAACAACCGCAGACGCAGCCGCAGCCGCAACACCACCACCCACCUCCUCAGAGCGGAGUCAUGGGAAAUCCUGGGAGUGUAGAAAAUGAAGGUUUGCUAAGGCAAGGUGGUGGAGUAAAUGUAAAUGGGGUUGGUGGAAAUGGG